AGAUUAGGUUUCAUUGAAUGUUUUGCUAUUUCAUUUAUUAGUUUAAUUCUGUUAAUGGUGAAAUUGUAGUGUAGAGUGACAAUGCAUUAUGAGAUCACUAUUAAUGGGUAGAUAAGAUGUCUUUUAUUCUAUUAAUGGAUAUAUUCCAGCAAGAGGACUGCGGCCACAGAGGCCUGCAAGUCAUUUGAGGAAUCACAGGUCGAUAAUUAAUUCCCAACAAUAUUUUUUCUUCUUCUUAAUUCUUCUUCUUCUUUAAUUUGCUUAUGUAUAUAAUCUAUCUUGAUGUUGCAGGAGGAGAACACCAAGGAGUUUGAGGAGAGGAAGAUUGAACUUGAAGCUAAGGCUCUAGAGAUCUAUCAGGCCUCUGACGCUGAUAUCAAGGUCUGCAUUACUUGUCAAAGUUAAAUUUGAUCGGAAUUCCAUAAAGAACAAGGUCUGUGGCUUCCUGGUUACCCUAGUAUGCUGUAUUGCCUCAGCACAUAUCUUGCUCUGUUGCCUCGUUUCGUUGCAUGAACACUACAGUGGUGAUAGAAAUGCUUCUCUCUUAUUUUCUGAUAUUCACUGCAUUACAUGAUUCAGUUGUAACUUAUGACUAAUGUUUAGUUCAUUUUCAUAUUACUUGAAUCAAUCAUUGCAGGUAUGUUGCCGAAAAAUUUGUACAUAACAAUGUGGUUUCUUAAUCAAGAAACUACUUUUCAUUAAAUAAAAGGUGGCUGACAUUCCGUGUUGAAUCAUUAAAUUGGUUUAGUGGUUCCUCUCCUAUCAAGGCUAGACAACUGCAGUGCAAGAUUAUUUCAACAAACUUGGUUGGUUCAUUAAUCCUUAUGAAGUAAUUCAUCUCAUGGAGUUCGAGACAAGGGAGGGCAAAGGGAAGAAAUCAUAGACAUGCAUGCUACUAGCAAGAGGAUAUAUGAAGACAUUAUUGAAAGUAAAAAAGUAUUGAACUUCUUAUCACAAAAAAUGGGAAGAAAAGUUUAUCAAGUAAGGUAGGCAAAGCAAAGAAAAGGAGAAGGUUUGUAAAAUGAUUCAAGAGGUGCAAUAUUCAAAUCAUUUAUAUCUAGGAGGAUCUGAUCCCUGUGAUCAUGAGCGUCGUGAUAGAAUGUAAAGAUUAGAUUACUUAAGGUGAGAUUUAAAAAUUUA